rnacentral:tRNA from 1 species
GGGGAUAUAGCUCAGUUGGUAGAGUGCUUGCCUUGCAUGCACAAGGCCCUGGGUUUGAUCCCCAGCACCACCA